rnacentral:rRNA from 1 species
CCUGAUGGAGGGGGAUAUCUACUGGAAACGGUAGCUAAUACCGCAUGACCUCGAAAGAGCAAAGUGGGGGAUCUUCGGACCUCACGCCAUCGGAUGUGCCCAGAUGGGAUUAGCUAGUAGGUGAGGUAAUGGCUCACCUAGGCGACGAUCCCUAGCUGGUCUGAGAGGAUGACCAGCCACACUGGAACUGAGACACGGUCCAGACUCCUACGGGAGGCAGCAGUGGGGAAUAUUGCACAAUGGGCGCAAGCCUGAUGCAGCCAUGCCGCGUGUGUGAAGAAGGCCUUAGGGUUGUAAAGCACUUUCAGCGAGGAGGAAGGCAUCACACUUAAUACGUGUGGUGAUUGACGUUACUCGCAGAAGAAGCACCGGCUAACUCCGUGCCAGCAGCCGCGGUAAUACGGAGGGUGCAAGCGUUAAUCGGAAUUACUGGGCGUAAAGCGCACGCAGGCGGUUUGUUAAAUCAGAUGUGAAAUCCCCGCGCUUAACGUGGGGAACUGCAUUUGAAACUGGCAAGCUAUAGUCUUGUAGAGGGGGGUAGAAUUCCAGGUGUAGCGGUGAAAUGCGUAGAGAUCUGGGAGGAAUACCGGUGGCGAAGGCGGCCCCCUGGACAAAAACUGACGCUCAGGUGCCAAAAGCGUGGGGGAGCAAACAGGAUUAGAUACCCUGGUAGUCCACGCUGUAAACGAUGUCGACUUGGGAGGUUGUGCCCUUGAGGCGUGGCUUCCGGAGCUAACGCG